GCCCGCAGGAGUCAUCACUUACCUCUGGUGCGUUCCUGCACAUAAACCUAAUUCACUUUUACGGUUGUAUGCUGUAAAUCUGAACAGCGUUCUUUUCCUCCAGUUUGACGGGAGUUUCCCCAUUCGCCGGAGAGAAUGACAGAGCCACGGCACUCAACAUCCGCAACUACAACGUGGCGUUUGAGGAGAGCAUGUUUUCUGACCUGUGCAAAGAGGCCAAGGGAUUUGUCAUCAAGCUGCUGGUGGUGGACAGAUUGAGACCCACUGCUGUUGAGUGCCUUCGCCAUCCCUGGUUCAAGGUAAGGUUCCCGCUUCAUGUGCCUCCCAUCAGUGUGCACAGUCU
rnacentral:lncRNA from 1 species